rnacentral:misc_RNA from 1 species
CGAAAUGCGAUAAGUAGUGUGAAUUGCAGAAUUCAGUGAAUCAUCGAAUCUUUGAACGCACAUUGCGCCCUUUGGUAUUCCUUAGGGCAUGCCUGUUCGAGCGUCAUUUGUAACCUCAAGCUCAGCUUGGUGUUGGGUGUCUGUCCCCGCCCCGCGCGGGGACUCGCCUCAAAAACAUUGGCGGCCGGUACGUUGGCUUCGAGCGCAGCAGAAACGCGAACUCGAGGCCCGACGGAUCGGCGACCAGAAGUCACUUCUUCCACAGCUUGACCUCGGAUCAGGUAGGGAUACCCGCUGAACUUAAGC